rnacentral:tRNA from 1 species
AGCAGCAUGGCCUAGUGGAAAGAGCUUUGGGCUGGGAGUCAGAAGACCUGGGUUCUAAUCCCAGCUCUGCUA